rnacentral:rRNA from 1 species
UACGUAGGGUGCGAGCGUUAAUCGGAAUUACUGGGCGUAAAGCGUGCGCAGGCGGUUAUGUAAGACAGUUGUGAAAUCCCCGGGCUCAACCUGGGAACUGCAUCUGUGACUGCAUAGCUAGAGUACGGUAGAGGGGGAUGGAAUUCCGCGUGUAGCAGUGAAAUGCGUAGAUAUGCGGAGGAACACCGAUGGCGAAGGCAAUCCCCUGGACCUGUACUGACGCUCAUGCACGAAAGGCGUGGGGAGCAAACAGG